rnacentral:rRNA from 1 species
CCUGGUGGCGAGUGGCGAACGGGUGAGUAAUAUAUCGGAACGUGCCCAGUCGUGGGGGAUAACGUAGCGAAAGCUACGCUAAUACCGCAUACGAUCUAUGGAUGAAANCGGGGGAUCGCAAGACCUCGCGCGAUUGGAGCGGCCGAUAUCAGAUUAGGUAGUUGGUGAGGUAAAGGCUCACCAAGCCGACGAUCUGUAGCUGGUCUGAGAGGACGACCAGCCACACUGGGACUGAGACACGGCCCAGACUCCUACGGGAGGCAGCAGUGGGGAAUUUUGGACAAUGGGCGCAAGCCUGAUCCAGCAAUGCCGCGUGCAGGAUGAAGGCCUUCGGGUUGUAAACUGCUUUUGUACGGAACGAAACGGUGAGCUCUAAUACAGUUUGCUAAUGACGGUACCGUAAGAAUAAGCACCGGCUAACUACGUG